rnacentral:rRNA from 1 species
CCCCCCCUUCUAACACGGACCAAGGAGUCUAACAUGUACGCGAGUCAUUGGGACCGCAUACCUAAAGGCAAAAUGAAAGUGAAGGUCGACCUUGCGUCGACCGAGGGAGGAUGGGUCGCGUUACGAUGCGACCCCGCACUCCCGGGGCGUCUCGUUCUCAUUGCGAGAAGAGGCGCACCCAGAGCGUACACGUUGGGACCCGAAAGAUGGUGAACUAUGCCUGGUCAGGACGAAGUCAGGGGAAACCCUGAUGGAGGUCCGUAGCGAUUCUGACGUGCAAAUCGAUCGUCGGAACUGGGUAUAGGGGCGAAAGACUAAUCGAACCAUCUAG